GUAGUCUGCAACCCGACUACAUGAAGCUGGAAUCGCUAGUAAUCGCGGAUCAGAAUGCCGCGGUGAAUACGUUCCCGGGUCUUGUACACACCGCCCGUCACACCAUGGGAGUCGGAAAUGCCCGAAGCCGGUGACUCAACCUUUAAGGAGAGAGCCGUCGAAGGCAGGUCUGAUAACUGGGGUGAAGUCGUAACAAGGUACC
rnacentral:rRNA from 1 species